rnacentral:rRNA from 1 species
AAAACGACUAUCGGCAACGGAUAUCUAGGCUCUCGCAUCGAUGAAGAACGUAGCAAAAUGCGAUACUUGGUGUGAAUUGCAGAAUCCCGUGAACCAUCGAGUUUUUGAACGCAAGUUGCGCCCGAAGCCAUUAGGCUGAGGGCACGUCUGCCUGGGCGUCUC